rnacentral:rRNA from 1 species
UACGUAGGGUGCAAGCGUUAUCCGGAAUUAUUGGGCGUAAAGAGCUCGUAGGCGGUUUGUCGCGUCUGCUGUGAAAACUGGAGGCUCAACCUCCAGCCUGCAGUGGGUACAGGCAGACUAGAGUGCGGUAGGGGAGAUUGGAAUUCCUGGUGUAGCGGUGGAAUGCGCAGAUAUCAGGAGGAACACCGAUGGCGAAGGCAGAUCUCUGGGCCGUAACUGACGCUGAGGAGCGAAAGCAUGGGGAGCGAACAGG